CCGGGAGCUUCGUGUGGAUGAUCCACAGAGGCCAGACACACUGUGUGACUAUAUCGCGAUAAUCAGACUCUCCCGACGAUGAUCAGAUUACGGCGAUCUACUAUCCGCACAAAGGUAUUGUGUCCUGAACACAUUACAUUAAAGUAUUUACUGUUCGAAUUUGAAUUUUAAAUUUAAAUGAAUGCAUGCUAUAUAUCAUAUUUAGAUCCUAAUAUAGGAUAAAUUCAUAUUAAUUAAUUAGAUUAAUUAAUAAUUUUUACUGUAAAAUAAUAAUUUUGAAAAAGUUUUAAAAUUAUCAUUUUACCCCUGCACUGAAUUUCCCACAUAAGGACCCUUAAAUCAAGCCUCUUGCUUUUCUUCCAUUGAUCAAUAAGUCGUAUUCAUAUCUGGUUCUAUUUAUUUUCUAAUAUGGACCC
rnacentral:lncRNA from 1 species